AGUGAACGCUGGCGGUAGGCCUAACACAUGCAAGUCGAACGGCAGCACAGUAAGAGCUUGCUCUUACGGGUGGCGAGUGGCGGACGGGUGAGGAAUACAUCGGAAUCUACUUUUUCGUGGGGGAUAACGUAGGGAAACUUACGCUAAUACCGCAUACGACCUACGGGUGAAAGCAUGGGAUCUUCGGACCUUGCGCGAUUGAAUGAGCCGAUGUCGGAUUAGCUAGUUGGCGGGGUAAAGGCCCACCAAGGCGACGAUCCGUAGCUGGUCUGAGAGGAUGAUCGGCGACACUGGAACUGAGACACGGUCCAGACUCCUACGGGAGGCAGCAGUGGGGAAUAUUGGGCAAUGGGCGCAAGCAUGAUCCAGCCAUACCGCGUGGGUGAAGAAGGCCUUCGGGUUGUAAAGACCUUUUGUUGGGAAAGAAAAGCAGCAGGUUAAUACCCCGCUGUUCUGACGGUACCCAAAGAAUAAGCACCGGCUAACUUCGUG
rnacentral:rRNA from 1 species